UAGGCGGCCCUGUGCGGCGUAAGAGUGCUCUCUCGUUAGAAUAAAUUGAGGAUGAGCUGGAUUUGGGACAGUGGCUACAAUCUCAUCAUGACAGCCAGACAUCAACGCGUGUAAAUAAUUUAGGGCUGCUUGGCCUGCCGUCGCCAAAACUGACUGGGAAUCAGCUGACUUCGCUGGACUUCUUCUGUAUGGGAACAGUGGCCUUGAAAAUGAGUCGGUCUUCACUUCCAGGCCUGGCUGGCGGGCUUCCCAGGGGGUGCACUGUCCAUCAGAGGUGACUUGGGGACCCCUGGAGGACUCCGGGUCAGCGACUGCAGAGCGCCGGGAUCCUGAAGGCGUCUGGGGUCAGUUUCCGGAAAUGGCCUUGCUAUGAGCUCCCCGCCCGAGGUCGGAGGAAGUUUCGCCGUCCUGACAUUGCGUUCACCCCUGAGGCGUCAGGGAAGGCCUGGCCCCUGACGCAUGCGCCGUGCAAUCGCUUCCCUUAGGCUCCCUGCACAGAUGCUCAGAUUUUGCCCUGAUCCCGAGGCGGCCUGGGAAUUCAUUUCCUGCUGACUGCACUUCCGCUUCUGGAAGGUGAUAGGAAAGAAGCCAACGUGAAGACCCCGACCUUCUAAACUUCCUGGAACGAGGCGGCUGGCUCGUCCUCCCUUUGCGGAGGCUGCUCUCCUCCUGUGGAGGGCGCGUUUCCAGCCCAGGACCCCAGCGGCAGGCAGCGGCGGCACCACUGAGGUUCUUGCUGUGGAGCUCCCAAUCUUGCAGUGAUCCUCCUGUCUCAGCCUUCCAAGUGCUGGGAUUACAGGCAUGUCCCACCACACCCAGCUCUGGAAGGAAGGUGUUGCUGAAGUUGAAGAUGCCCAUUUUCGGAUUGAGACCCUCGGUUCUUCAUGACGAGCUCUCCGGAAGCCAGACAGCCUGGGUGCACUAGGAGGCCUUGUGGUAUUUCCCAGCAUCCCUUGGGAAUUAUGUGCCUCUUUGUUUUGGAAAGUGUGAUAGUUAACAGUGGUGUCAGCUUUAGGAAGAAAUGCCUGCUGAUUGGUUUAGCACGGUUCGGGUUGUGUCUGGAUGAUGGACAUACAGAAGGGGGAGGACUCACGCUGGGUGUGGGAGACACCAACCAAUGGGCUUCUACCCUGGGUGGAAUCAAAAGGGAAAGAAGGAAGUCUCCUUCUGUUGCUUCGGAGGAGCUCCAGUCUUCACCGUCACCUUUGGGCAUCCGUCUCCAGGCUUCCAGGACAGACCCUUAGGCUUCCUGACAGGAUUUGCAUGGGACUGCGAGGGGAGCUCCAGGCCUUUGACUUGUGACUGGGUCCUUUGGCUCUCCAGCGGGCAGAUGGCCCUUUUGCACUCUUCCACACCUGACUCUGUGGGCGGCCAUUAUAAGCCGACCUCGUAAAUCUCUAGUUAUUUAUCUAUCUAUCUAUCCAUCCAUCAUAUAUCUUAUAUUAAAUCAGUUCCUCUAAUGAACACUGACUGAUACAGAGAGGGAGGGACUACAUCAUCUGGAUAUCACCUUUCCACCUUUUCCAGCUCCUGGUAGCCCCCAGUGUUCUUGGUACGGGGCAGCACUAACUCUGAUACUCACAUAACCUUUCUUUUGUGCAUAUCUGUGUCUGUGUUCAAAUUUCUUCCUUUUACAAGGACAUGAGUUAUAGUGGGUUAGGGCCCACCUCGUGUCUUCAUCUUGACUAUGUCUACAAAGAGCCUAUUCCUAAACAAGGUCACAUUCUGAGGCACUGGGAGGUAGGAUGUCAGUCUGUCUUUGCUGCGGGGAACAGUUCAUAAUGCCACCUCCAGAAACUUCGGACUCACAGCCUCAAAUGUAAUGCCCGGCAUCACAGCUGACCAUGCACUAGAUAUUUCCAGCCCUGACAACAAUAGCUGCCAGAUGUGACAUGGAGAGAUGUGUUUUAUGGAGGUGAGGGGUCCAGGAGACACUAAUCAGGUAUCUGGACCUCAUUGGUCCCACAAGACACGACAACAGAGUUGGAUCAGGAGGGAACCAUAUCCUGAAAAAACCCCACAAGGUACAUGACCCACCUCUGAAUAAUAUAGGACAAACUAUACUUCCAAGAUACAGCUCAGCCCCAUUCAGCAUGAAUUUGAGUCAGCACAGUCAAUUAAUCUUAUCAGUAAUGACUUGCACACCAGAUGAUUCAAUCUGUACACCGGAAACGGCCACUGUUGGUGGUUGUGUUGCCUGGCUCUCCCUUCUGCUGUUUCUUCCCCCACCUGCUCCUUUAAUAUGUUGGCUUAGUUCUCUGCCUCCUCCUUCUGUCCUGGUUUGCUUUUAGCUUCCUUCCCAGUGGAGGUCAAAGGUCACAUAAGGAGAAGAAUCAAAUAGCUUGGUAUAAAACAAAAGAACCUUUAACAAAGCGGAAGUACACUUUUACUGGAAAUAUAAUAAAGAAAAGUCAUACACUGGACAUGUAUUUAAAAUCAAA